rnacentral:sRNA from 1 species
UUUUUGAUGGCGUUAGGGAUAGUAGCGACAUCCUUUUGCUUUUUUUAAGAAAAGCAAAAGAUAUAGCGAAUAGCCCGGCCGAAG